rnacentral:misc_RNA from 1 species
GAAAUGCGAUAAGUAAUGUGAAUUGCAGAAUUCAGUGAAUCAUCGAAUCUUUGAACGCACAUUGCGCCCGCCAGUAUUCUGGCGGGCAUGCCUGUCCGAGCGUCAUUUCAACCAUCAAGCCCCCGGGCUUGUGUUGGGGACCUGCGGCUGCCCGCAGGCCCUGAAAACCAGUGGCGGGCUCGCUGUCACACCGAGCGUAGUAGCAAUCACCUCGCUCAGGGCGUGCUGCGGGUUCCGGCCGUUAAACAGCCUUACAAAACCCAAGGUUGACCUCGGAUCAGGUAGGACGACCCGCUGAACUUAAGC